CCUACGGGAGGCAGCAGUGGGGAAUUUUGGACAAUGGGCGCAAGCCUGAUCCAGCCAUGCCGCGUGUGGGAAGAAGGCCUUCGGGUUGUAAACCACUUUUGUCAGGGAAGAAACGGUCUUUUCUAAUACAGAGGGCUAAUGACGGUACCUGAAGAAUAAGCACCGGCUAACUACGUGCCAGCAGCCGCGGUAAUACGUAGGGUGCAAGCGUUAAUCGGAAUUACUGGGCGUAAAGCGUGCGCAGGCGGCUUUGCAAGACAGGUGUGAAAUCCCCGGGCUCAACCUGGGAACUGCAUUUGUGACUGCAUGGCUAGAGUACGGUAGAGGGGGAUGGAAUUCCGCGUGUAGCAGCGAAAUGCGUAGAUAUGCGGAGGAACACCGAUGGCGAAGGCAAUCCCCUGGACCUGUACUGACGCUCAUGCACGAAAGCGUGGGGAGCAAACAGGAUUAGAUACCCUGGUAGUCCACGCCCUAAACGAUGUCAACUGGUUGUUGGACGGCUUGCUGUUCAGUAACGAAGCUAACGUGUGAAGUUGACCGCCUGGGGAGUAACGGCCGCAAGGUUGAAACUUCAAAGGAUUGACGG
rnacentral:rRNA from 1 species